GAGUGAGGGGGCCAGGCCAAGUGCCCGGACAGAGCGUGUUCUCAGGUCCGACUGACCUGGCCACUCGCCACCGCGAGCACAUCUUCUGGGAAGGGCAUUCUCAGAUUCCUGGAUGCUGAUACAUUCCUGUCCCAUCUAGGAUCCGGCAGCGUCUGCUUUAUUCUCCAGAAUCCCUGUAUUUGCCCCAAAGAUGUCCCUUUGCCAUUUUUCCUUCUUGUAUUCCCUGGCUUUGGUGUCAAAGAAGAUGAAAAAGUGCGGAUUUAGAAUUCAUUCCUAAGAAUGUGAAGACCGGGCAUUGCUGGGUGUCUCUGGACUGCCGCGGCUCACUGCCGGCCAGUCAGCUGAAACCCAGCAUCAGGAACGCAGGGUCUUUAUGGGAACUGCUGUUGUCCGCCAGAAUCAUUCUAAAUAUAUUAAAAGUUAAUAAAACUUGGUUUUCCAGCAUUUCGCUGCCCCAGGAGGGCAGUGGGCCCCCUGUCCAAUUCAUCAACUGCCUAAUGAGCGGCCCCGGAGGUCCCGGCCCGUCCAUUCCAGAAGCUCUCUCUGCCUUGUAAAGCCGCCCACCUCGAGCCCAGAAGAGCAGGAGCGCAGAGGGGCGGUUAUGCUUACGGUGCCUGCAGGACAAGACAAAGUGGAAAGCUGCUCUUUGUCACCCACCCGGCCCCGAUGGCAGCUAACAGACCUCAUCCACACAAUUGGCUGGGACUCGACUCCCUUGUAACACCAGGUCCCUCUUCUGCAGUCUCUGUGCACUCGUGGAGGAGCAGUGUGGAGGGUCUCUGAGGCCAGGGGGAGCACCAGCAUCAGCCAGCACCUCCGUUCUUCGACAGAGGGAAGACGCGAUUGCGUGGCUCUCAGCAGUGACAUCAGAGUGUCCACGUGCCCCCGACCGUGUGCCCCAGCUGUAUGCAUCCUCCUGGUUCCUGUCAGGCAUGUGUUGGGGGCUCAGAGUCCACAUACGGACGACCACAGCAACCACAGCAGCUGUUCUGACGGGGCUUGGAGGGAGUGGGCCCCGCUCACGCCCACCCCUUGAAGCCCCUCAACCUAGGGCCGGGCUUUCUCAGUUUCCCGUUGCUUUUCCAGGUACUCAGAGCAUGGCUCUGGUGCAGGAUUUCUCCUGGAAAGGGGCCGCUGCUGUCGCCGGGCACUCGAGGUCUCCUGAAAUACACUUUGAAGGGUUUUUGUCUUGUUUUGUUUUCCCCACUCGACACCCUUGAAUGAAGUAGGCUGUUGGCCUUCCCACAGAAGGAUUUCCCAUUAUCCUGUGCACUUGCAAGGGGCAAAAGCCCAGCAAGCAGAGGUAGCAUACGGGGUUCUCAUCACGCGUUCCUUCUGGUCUCAACUGCCCCCAAAAUGCUGCAGCUUUUGCCCCUUCUCAGUAACUAAUCCCCCACUGCAUUCCCCACCCCCUUGGACCAGCCCACCCCAAGCUGCUCACAUUGAAAGGAGCAUUCAUGCUUGGGCCAUCUGUUUGUUUAAACUCACCCCAUGCGAGGCCAUGUUAAAUGCAACAGAAUGGAGAAAAAUGUAAUUCUCUGUCGGCUUUUGAUCAAAGCGAGGACUUUUAAAAAAAUUCAAGAUGGAUUUCUGAAGGACAAUGUGGUACACAUUCCUUGUGUUUCUGAGCUGCGGUGUUUAGUUGAUUUGGGGAAAAAAAAUCCCCCCCCCCCCGCCUUUUGAUCCCAUGGAGAAAACACUCUCACAAACACAUCUCAGCCCCACAAACAUUGCAAGACGGCGGGAGGGUGGAAGGGUACGGCCUUCUCAUUUAUCAACAACACAGGAGAAUUCGGAAUACGACUCACUGCAACAUGCAAGCCCUCUCCUUCUGUGGGAAUUCAAGGCGACAUCCCUGCCACCUCAGGACCCAGGAUGCUUGCCCCGCACCCAGAAACACACGUCUUGGCUCACCCCUCCAGCUCUGUCGCCACCAACCAUUAAGAGUACAUUUCUCCCUGGCUCCUUCAGCCUCCCAGCAAAUGCAAAUAAAAAGUGCUUAAAAUGGUUAACAUUUCCUGUCACUGAAGGCAUUCGUGAGGGGUGGGGGUCGCUGAGUUUUAAGUGUAUUUUCAUAGGAAAACUCAUUUCAGAUCUGCAGCAGGGACUCGGACAACUCGCACAGAGUCUCAGGGUCUGCAGGGAGCCCGAACACUGAGUCGGCCGAUGGUCCUCCACAUUAUGUGGGUACAGGAGAGCGGGUACCCAGGUUCACACUUAGGCCCGCCCGGGGCCCCUCUCCGGUCUCACAGGGAAAAAUAAAAUAGGCUCUUUCCCACCAUCCUCCCGGUUAUUCAUUUUCUUUUCCUCUAUUGGAGAGAAAAAAACCCCCCCAAAUUUGGCAAUUUAUUUUGUUGUGUUUCCUCUAUUGAUUGUUUAGCUAGUGAUUUUGCCAACUUCCUGGAUGUUCAUUUCUGGUCCUGCACAAAAGAGCCACAUUUCCUUUUGGAACUGGGACCAGGAGACAGAGCAGCAGGCACUGGAAAUUGUGAGUACUCCCCAACUUUCUUCCAGCUUCGCUCUGACCCUGUCUGUCCGUCUGGCCUGCCUCCCGAAUCUUUCUCUAACCAGUUAACUUUCUGUGUGGCUCCCUGCGAACCCCUCCGUCAGCCCAUAGCAGCACUCUGACUUUCAGGAAGGGAGCCCCUACCAUGUCUGUAGGAACCUCGGAUGGGAAGGGGAGGGGAGUGUGCUUACCAACGGAGGACUUCAGUUCUCAUUUUAAGGCUCCGAAAGAUGGUGAAAGCCAACAGAAGCAGGCUGGUUUAUUUCAGGGCGAACAGUGAGUCCCUACUGAAUUUACCUCAUAAAAUGAAUUUUUAAAUUUUCAUUUUCUCAUUUCAUUCCAGCAGAAAAUGAGUUUGCCUUUAUAAUGUCCAGAUCUUUCGAACUCUAUGGAGUGAGAAAUUAAGUUACAAAAUGUAAAUACCUUGGUUAUACCCCCAUAUAUAUAUAUGAAAUGAAUAUAUAUAUGAAAUGAAGUAAUUCCUGACUGUAAUGCAAUAGCAAGCCUGAUUUUAGGCUCCUAGGACACUUUAAAAAAUUUUAUGACGUGUAAUAAAGAAAAAUUAGGUUUGGUAAAAAUGUUUCUUUUUAAAAAUGGGUGCAAUAAUAAAUUCAAUUGUAUUUCUCAUUUAACAUAAAUUGUUUAUUUUUUAAAAUCUUCUGAACGUCUUUGUCUAAUGUUGGGAGGACUGUAAAAAAAAUGUUAAUAUUCUAGGCCACAAUUGACUUCUUUCCAUGAAACUAUUCUAAUGCGUGUGGACAAUUGUAAAGCAAUGCAGUUCUCUUGUGAAAGGAAUACCCUGCCUUUAAUUAAAAGCAAUUAAUGCUCAAAUUUCAAGGCAAAUCCACUGAUCAGUUAGGGGCAUGGAGAAGGAGAAAAGCAAGCCUGCUAUUUCCAUAAGAAAGUCCAGAAAUCAACAUCGUACAGAUGUACAAUCGGAACGUGAUUAUAUUUAAAGGAAAAGUUAUAUAAGCUUCAAAAAUGGUCGUUGUUUUGCUUAAGUGCCUGAAAAAAGGAUUCAGAAUAAUAUUUGGAUUAUCCCAGUUUUGUGCUCUUGUGUUCAUGGAGCCUUGUCAGGUUAAAGAACCCCAAUGACAAGGGGGGCACGAGUAUGCAUAUGUAUGUCUCCCCUAUGUCCCCAACUUGGGGAAGUGUGGGGAGGGAAAGGUGGGUGCUGACCACUGGAAAAGUAAACCUUCACCCCAGAAAUUCAUAAUUAAUCUAAAACUCUCAGAUUAAACAUAGCAAUGCUCUCAUCUUCCUUCACCUCCUCAAUUUGGGGGUUGCAGCGCAGGGCGAUGGGCUAGAGAAUUUUUGAAAUUGCUGCAGACCAGAGGUGUGCCGAAAGGCUGCGGCGCUGUCCUGUGCGUCUGCCUAGAGUAUCCUGUCCUCAUCCUCCUGGCCGUGGGGCUAUGGCGCUGCGCGACUUCGACAUAUUUUGCAAGCUUUCUAGUUGGGAUUGCUGGAGCAGAAAGCUUGGCGGCCUUACACAGCUUCCCUUGCUGCCCAGCAGAUGGCGAUGUUACUUCUGGAGUGGCCCGCAGGGGUGGGGGUGGGGAAAAAGCUGAGGUUCAGCCCGAAAUCAGGGCAGGUCCCUGGUCAGGUCCCCCUUCCCUUCUCCCGGAGCCCGACCAGCCAGUGAUGAACGUAAGAAAUAAAAAGUUUUUGAGGCCUCACUUGCAACGUGCCAAGCAGUCAAAGAGUAUUUGAGGUAUUUAAGCCACAUGUUAAUUAGCAAAAGCCUCGGCCUCCUGAAAUGGUCUAAGACAGUGCUCAGCCUACGUUCAGAGAACUAUUUCCUGGAAACGUUCAAGAUAAAAAUGGAAGAAGCUUAGCAGCUAUCUCAAAAUCAGAUCUAUCGCCUGUUUAUGUUUUAGGGGAAAAAAAUGAUACCCUUAACGAUACUCCUGUAAUAUUCACAAGAAGUGUACGUGCCAUAACAUUGUGAGGAAUUUUAUAUGCGUGCAAAUGGACAAGUAAAAUCAGGCAUGUACCGUUGGUGAUACAGUCAGAGUCUCACCUUCUCAAAAAAGGCUUUCCAUUUGAUGUGAGGAAUACGUGCGGGAAUAUCCACCCUGGACUGUGGGUUUUCCGCUAUCAGCACCUGCUGAAAUGGUGCUACCAGAUUCUUAGAGCUUCUCAACCUCCUCUUCCAUCUCAGGCUGGCCGGCUACUCUUCUUCCACAGAGAAAAGUUUCCACUUUAGUUCAAGAACAAACAAACAUUUUUCUGUCACCAUCUCCUGCUAGAGAGAAUCCCUAAACCUGACAAGCACAUUUUCCAACAUAUGUAAUGUGAAAAUUAAAAUGAAGACAAUUUUGGAUGGUUUCGGUGUUUUGGUUCUUCACGGGAUAGCCUGAUUCCUUAGUUUGUUUUAGGUAAUAAUUUGCACAUUGUUUAAUUUGAAAAGAAAUAGCGGGCACAUUGACACCUACUUGAAACAAAUUGUAACUUAACAGCAUCAACAGGAGAGCUUAUUUCUUUUCCUAAAAAUGAUGUUAUCAUUUGUGUUUGAAAAAUAAAAAGAUGGCAAGGGAAUUCAUUGGACUCCUAGUGUGAAACGCUGUUUAAGGCAUAGAAGUAUGUUCAUUUAGGGUAGUAUGACACCUUCAUCGUGUUACUGGUGGUUAAUCAUGUAUUGUUCUUUAAAAAUUUAAUUGAAUGACAUGCCGGGUUGGUUUUUUUUUUUUUUUUAACCUGUAUAUAUUUACAAACUGUGCAAGUUACCCACUGCUUGUAAGUCUAUGUAUUAAUACGAUGAUCGUGCAAGAAAUCCAGCUGUUUAAAUAAAUUCUGUUCUGCUU
rnacentral:lncRNA from 1 species